rnacentral:rRNA from 1 species
GACGAACGCUGGCGGCGUGCUUAACACAUGCAAGUCGAACGGUGAAGGCGGAGCUUGCUCUGCCGGAUCAGUGGCGAACGGGUGAGUAACACGUGGGCAACCUGCCCCUCACUUCGGGAUAACUCCGGGAGACCGGGGCUAAUACCGGAUACGACCUCCUUGGGCAUCUUUGGAGGUGGAAAGUUUUUCGGUGAGGGAUGGGCCCGCGGCCUAUCAGCUUGUUGGUGAGGUAGUGGCUCACCAAGGCGACGACGGGUAGCCGGCCUGAGAGGGCGACCGGCCACACUGGGACUGAGACACGGCCCAGACUCCUACGGGAGGCAGCAGUGGGGAAUAUUGCGCAAUGGGCGAAAGCCUGACGCAGCAACGCCGCGUGCGGGAAGAAGGCCUUCGGGUUGUAAACCGCUUUCAGCAGGGAAGAAGCCGCAAGGUGACGGUACCUGCAGAAGAAGCACCGGCUAACUACGUGCCAGCCGCCGCCGUAAUAC